rnacentral:rRNA from 1 species
AUGGUAGAGGGUUCCGUCCAGGACAUUGCCAACCUGAAGUUCCUCCUCCUGUGCUUCCAACAGAUGUCGGCCCUAACCAUCAACUUUGAUAAGAACGAAGUGAUGGUGCUCGGGUACCCGGACGAAGCUCAGGCUAUUGCUGACCGACUCAACUGCAGGUUGGGUUCUUUCCCCACGACUUACCUGGGGAUCCCCGUUAGUGAUUCGCACCUCACCGUGGCGGAUCUUCGCCCCACGGUGACCUGUAUGCAACACCGCGUUGAGCCUUGGAAAGGGCGUUGGUUGUCGAAGGCUGCUUGCAUCAUCCUUAUCAACUCUUCGCUUGCUAGCCUCCUUUGGUUCCCCAUGAGCUUCCAUAGCCUCCAUGAGACCCUUCAUCAGGAGAUCGCCAAAUACCAAUCCAGAUUCUUCUGGGCUGGGGAGGGGGAUAAG